rnacentral:rRNA from 1 species
CAGUGAUAAACUGGAGGAAGGUGGGGAUGACGUCAAGUCAUCAUGGCCCUUACGACCAGGGCUACACACGUGCUACAAUGGCGCAUACAAAGAGAAGCGACCUCGCGAGAGCAAGCGGACCUCAUAAAGUGCGUCGUAGUCCGGAUUGGAGUCUGCAACUCGACUCCAUGAAGUCGGAAUCGCUAGUAAUCGUGGAUCAGAAUGC